GACGAACGCUGGCGGCGUGCUUAACACAUGCAAGUCGAACGGAAAGGCCCUGCUUUUGUGGGGUUCUCGAGUGGCGAACGGGUGCGUAACACGUGAGUAACCUGCCCUUGACUUUGGUAUAACUUCAGGAAGCUGGGGCUAAUACCGUAUAGGAGCUCCUGCUGCAUGGUGGGGGUUGGAUCGUUUCGGCGGUUGGGGAUGGACUCGCGGCUUAUCAGCUUGUUGGUGGGGUAGUGGCUUACCAAGGCUUUGACGGGUAGCCGGCCUGAGAGGGUGACCGGCCACAUUGGGACUGAGAUACGGACCAGACUCCUACGGGAGGCAGCAGUGGGGAAUAUUGCACAAUGGGCGGAAGCCGGAUGCAGAAACGCCGCGUGCGGGAUGACGGCCUUCGGGUUGUAAACCGCUUUCGCCUGUGACGAAGCGUGAGUGACGGUAAUGGGUAAAGAAGCACCGGCUAACUACGUG
rnacentral:rRNA from 1 species